GAAAGAUUAUUUUUUAACUAUCUAACUGUUACGUUUUACAACUCUAACUAGACGUCAUUAAUCAUUUCUCACGUAUUUAUCCCCGUCAGUGUCCACCUAAAUAGAAAUGAUACCGUCUAUGAUACAAUAACUCAACUAUAAAACUAAACAAACUAUAUCGAGAGGACACAAAAUAGUCUUCAAACAUUCACGGAUCAAAAUGUUAACCUGGAC
rnacentral:lncRNA from 1 species